GCCUGAGUGGCUCAGUUGGUUAAGCAGCUGCCUUCGGCUCAGGUCAAGAUCCCAGCAUCCUGGGAUCAAGUCCCACCUCGGGCU
rfam:Mustela putorius furo unplaced genomic scaffold scaffold00061, whole genome shotgun sequence.